rnacentral:rRNA from 1 species
UGGGGAAUCUUGGACAAUGGGGGCAACCCUGAUCCAGCGACGCCGCGUGGGUGGUAAGGCCUUCGGGUUGUAAAGCCCUUUCAGCGGGGAAGAUGAUGACAUUACCCGCAGAAGAAGCGCCGGCUAACUCCGUGCCAGCAGCCGCGGUAAGACAGAGGGUGCAAGCGUUGUUCGGAAUUAUUGGGCGUAAAGCGCGCGUAGGCGGCGAGUUAAGUCGGAUGUGAAAGCCCGGGGCUCAACCUCGGAAGUGCAUCCGAAACUGGCUUGCUUGAAUCUUGGAGGGGGCAGUGGAAUUCCCGGUGUAGAGGUGAAAUUCGUAGAUAUCGGGAGGAACACCAGUGGCGAAGGCGACUGCCUGGACAAUGAUUGACGCUGAGGUGCGAAAGCGUGGGUAGCAAACAGGAUUAGAUACCCCUGUAGUCC